rnacentral:rRNA from 1 species
CAGUCGCCGCGGUAAUACGUAGGGUGCGAGCGUUAAUCGGAAUUACUGGGCGUAAAGCGUGCGCAGGCGGUUAUAUAAGACAGAUGUGAAAUCCCCGGGCUCAACCUGGGACCUGCAUUUGUGACUGUAUAGCUAGAGUACGGUGGAGGGGGAUGGAAUUCCGCGUGUAGCAGUGAAAUUCGUAGAUAUGCGGAGGAACACCGAUGGCGAAGGCAAUCCCCUGGACCUGUACUGACGCUCAUGCACGAAAGCGUGGGGAGCAAACAGGAUUAGAUACCCGUGUAGUCCCUGUCUCUUAUAC